ensembl:lncRNA
CAGAAUCUGUCUUGUCCCUGUUCUGAACAAAAUGGGGAGCUUCCCUCAUAGCACAUAACUCAGCUACAGAAGGGCAUGUGACUAGGGGCGGGUUUUGCAGUCACAUUGGUGGUUAGAGCCAAAGUGGCCCCAUUAAAGGAAGGCUCAGGGAAGCACUCAUAUCUCUGCUAUGGAGGUUAGGCAUGCACUUCUGAAAAGCUCCUUCCAACCAUCCAAGCAUCUCUGUUGGCCGGUGCUAGAACCAUAGAAACACCACAGUGAUGAUAAAACAAAACAAAACGAAAACAAACAAACAAAACACUUACAAAAGAGCAGGGGAAGAAAUUCUUUUUGUUCUUAAAUUCCUUUUGUAGGAUCCUACCAGAAAGGAGGAUUUUCCUUCUAUUUUACUUCUAGCUGCUAACCGGAAAACAAGUCUGAGGUUUCACCCAGUCACACCUGUCACACUAUUCGCACGCAAUAUAAACUGGAACUUGUUUCUCUUAACUGCGCCCGAUGGAGAGUCCACAUACAUCUUAUCUUAUAGACUGAGGCUGAUGUUCCAAGAAAGAUCUUUCCAAACCUAGAAGAAUUAGUCUCCAAAUACAAAAAGCCAGAUCAAGGACUGGUGGUUCACCUUUCAAACCCAAUAAUGAGAACCGACUUAUGCCAAAAAGGGAGAAGAUCGGAGUUAGAGCUGAAUAUUUAUGAGAACACCAAUGAGGAGUAUGUGGACGUCCUGCCUUGAAGACAAGGAUAUCGGACAAGGCAAGCUACAAAAGAGACGGCUCUGCUCUCAGCUGCCACAUGGUCAAGUGUGAAUCUAAAACACCAAUUUCUAGUGGGCCACUGCGACCCUCUGAUUCGGAUAGCAAGAUCUGUUCUGCAGCCUUGGAGGAGCCAUUUCCCAGACACCCGCCUUCUGGUACAAUCCUCAAGAGGCCCUAAAGCCACUACUUACUGACCUCUUACUCCCCUAUCUUGAAACUGGACAGCCAUAACCCAGUCUCCUGUCUGGUUAGAGGCGGCUGGCCUGCUUCAUGGUUGACAGCUUUCAACAGGACAACGGGAAGUGAAGUUUCACACAGCAAGCAGAAAGAGUACUCAACAGUGACGUCAGAGCUCCCAUCCUGUGACUGUGACUUUAGAGAAAUCACCCCCUCGUUCUCAGCUUCUUCAUCUAUUAAAUAAUUGGGUGAUGCACAUGUCUUGGACCCUCCAUUGAGCCUGGUUCUGUCAGGCAGAGCAGGGGUCUGAGCAGCAGGAUGAGGACCUAAGGAUACUGAGAGGAAGCAAACAUGUCCUCCCGACCUGUGAGGUCGUGGUCCUGAUGGAGGUUGUGACCCACCCUGUAACUGCAGGUUUUAUCACAUGAGCUCCAGUUCCCAAAUAAUGACUCAUUGGCUUGUUAUUUAUGAAUUAAUGUCUAAACCUUGAGCUAGAAUUCUUACAUAGAUUGUAACUCAAUUAACCCAUGUAUUCUAUUCUAUUUCAGCUACAUGCCUGGUUACCUCUCCUCAGUACCUUUCACUUCCUCCCAGACUUGGCGGUGGGAAUCUUCCCUUGCCUGAUUAUUUCUCAAAAUUCCUCUUUUUUCUCUCUGGUGGUUUUCCCGCCUUAGUGUGUUGGCCAUCAGAUUUUUAUUGACAGCGGAUGCUUCUACACAGCACACAGGAGAUUAGCCCUAUGCUACCCGUGUUCCUUUCCUUUCAGCCUGAACUUGUCUUCUGUCUCGUCUUUCCAAGGUUUACCUUCUGUCCAACCUUCUUCUGGCUACAUUUUCCCACAUUCCACAUAUGCAGCCAUCACUUUGCUAGCUCUGCCUUCUGGUAAAUGUGAUUUAAAAUAUUUAUUUUUAUUACUUUUUUGGUUAACUUACAAUGUAAUGGUGUCACUCCAAACUUUUUAUACCUAUAAAUCAUUAUACUCUGGUGUUUCUGUUUCAUUGCUUGUUAUCAUUUCUCUUUUUUUUUUCAUUUUGUCUUGUUUUGUCUUGUUUGUUUGAGGCAGAAUCUCAGUUUAGGCCAAGCUAGCCUCAAACUGGAGGCAAUCUUUCUGGCUCAGAUCCGUGCUAGGGUUACAGGCACAAGUGAUCACGUGUGACCAAUCCUUUCUUCUGUCUUGACCUGCCCCAAGUUUCCCACCUUGCUGGGACCCCCUGUCCCCAGAGAGAUCCUCUUCUGCUUAUAUCCCACGCCUUCUCUGUUCUCCCAUCCCCAUUUGAGCUCGUCCUGACUCAUCGUCCACUUUUUAAACUCUGACGUCCUCCAUAUGUACGUAUUUAUUUGCAGAUACUGAUUUAAAUCUAGAUAUUGCAUAUAAGACAAAUGUGGUUUGUCCUUCUGAAUCUGACAAAUUUCACUUAACAUGAUAAUCUCCAUGCCUGUCCAUCUUUCUGUGUGAUUACUAUAAGUUCAUUAUAUAUGUGUACCAAUGUGCGGCUAGUUUAAAGAUGUUCUUGUAUGGUUGGUUCUAUUCCUGCCUAGGUUCUAAGAGCCAUCAGAGCAUGGCUGUGCCCAGCUUAUGGAAACAGAUGAUGCACAGAAAUGUACCCUCCCUGAACAUAGCAAUUAAGGACUGAAAGCAUUUUUCUGAAGGAUUGGUUGAGGUGACUUUAAGGUCCCUUGAAUUUUUUGGCUAGUUCAAAUGUUAAACUAAAAGCCGUAUGGUCAUGUAACUCAAUGGUAGAGAACUUGCUUAGCAUGUGCAAAGGCCCCAGAGUUCAAUCAUGAGCACAUAUAAAAUAAGCAAAGAAAAAUAAAAAGAAAGUUAAUCAAGGUCUGGUUAGAACCCAAGUUCUUUGCUCUACAUCUGAAGUCCUAGCUACCCAGGAGGAUUAAGUGUUUAAGAUCAGCCUGGGUUGCUCCAUUAAAUCUUGGCUAUUCAAAAAGAGUCAUCAUAUCUCCACAGACCUAUCCACUGGUGAGUGAAAAUGAAGCCAUGACUGCUUCAAGGUAAUUGGUAAAGGGAAAGUUUAUCGUAGACAUGAGGGAGAGAAAUACCACUGUCAUCUGGAAGGGGCCAGGCUCAACCAGGCCAACAGACUGAAUCAGGCCGUGGUGGUGGAGAGGAUCAAGUGAGGGAGAGAAGAGGGAGGGAGCAAGGAGGCUACAUGGGAACCAAAAGGUCAAGAAGCAGGAAGCUCAAGAGCCUGUAGUCAAAUGUCUGGGUUUAUAUAGAAAGGAGGAACCGAGAGAAGGAAGCCAGUCCCUUGGCUGGGAAGUGGACAGGUUGAGAAAUGCUCAGAGGACCACAGAAACUAUGUGAGUCUCUUCCUAGUUUCACUGAGACACAGCGACAUCCCUUCUUAAGAAUAACAAGUAAUUAAACAAGGCAGUUAGCACAGAGUUUACAUGUUUAGUGCAUUUUAUUUUCAGACUGUCCUUGUCCAUUUUGAAGAAAGGAACUCCAGACUUCCAGGCAGUAAAAAAAUUUUGUCACUCAUUGCCCCAAGAUGGGCACAACUGUGAAUUGUGCCCCAGGAAUCCCUUCACUACUACCAAGCAGAGAGGUAGCAAAAUGAUGAAGCCAUGUUCAGGGAGAUGAGAGGGAAAAUCCUGCUGGACUCUUCAAUAAAAGAUGCACAAGGGGCAGGAAGCAAUCCUCUCCCUGAGAUUCAGUUCCUUUAGUCUUUCAUUCUGUGGUACCAACAGGUUUCUGGAGUUUGCAGUAAUCCUUUGCUAGGAAAUAUAAUCUCUGACUAUUUCUUGAGUAAACUGAUGAAUGGACAGGUCUUUAAAGAAAGACAUGAUCACUCAUCCUGGAUAGCCAAGAUUUGACACAGCGCUUUCUACAUUCCUAAGUCCAGUCUUACUCUGCAGUUCAAGCUGCAUUUGAACUCACCGAAAUCCUCCUGUCUCUGCCUCCCAAGUGCUAAGAUUAUAGCUACAUGCCACGUGCUAGAAGCAAUUUCCUCUUCUUUUCUCGUGUUAAGGGUUGUGUGACGCUUGAUCCCAGUGACUUUUGCUGUGCUUGCCACACAGCCAAAACCAGUGCCUGAUAUCAAUCUCCUGCUGGAAUCCCUGACAUUUUUGAAAGAUGUUGAAUAUAUCAUACUUUAAGCAACUGGAAACUUUGAGCAUAUGUCACGGGAAAAGACCAUAUUAAUAUUAUUAAUAAUAUCAUUAUAAUUAUAUCUAAACCAUAUGUAAGUGUGAUAUAAUUAUAUUAGUAUGUUAUUAUGUAAUUAUCAUAAUUAUUAAUAGCCAUUGCAUGUGUUUGAAGUGCUGUUCUGUGAAGGACGUGUCUCUGAGUAUGAUGCCAAACUGCAGAACUCAGACCAGUGGCUAGGAGUUUGAGCAGAGCAGUUUCAUUCAAAGAUAAGAAGAUGGCUGGAUUUCCAACUCAUCACUCUAAUCUCUAGUGAUCACAAUGGGAAGCAUCCGCUGUCUUUUCCCCUCUCUCUCUUCUUUUUUCCUCCUCUCUCUCUCUCUCUCUCUCUCUCUCUCUCUCUCUCUCUCUCUCUCCCUCUCCCUCCCUUCCUCCCUCCCUCUUUCUCUCCUCUUUGUAAUUAGGAAUGAAAACUUGAGUUUACCCAUUCCUUAAUUUUUAAUUUAAUAUCUGCACCAGUCUAUAGAAGUAUUUUAGUUUACUUCAUUUCAUAAGCUUUCUUCUUUCCAUUCCUAAUUUCCCUUGUAGUGUUCAACUCCCCUCAUGGGAGCCACUUCUAUAUUUUUGAUUCAAGGCAUUAGAUGUUGUCUUAGGGUUUCUAAUCCUGCACAAACAUCAUGACCAAGAAGCAGGUUGGGGAGGAAAGGGUUUAUUCAGCUUACACUUCCACAUUGCUGUUCAUCACCAAAGGAAGUCAAGACUGGAACUCAAGCAGACCAGGAAGCAGGCGCUGAUGCAGAAGCCAUGGAGGGAUGUUACUUACUGACUUGCUUCCCCUGGCUUCACUAGUUGAGAAAAUGCUUUACAGUCGGGUUCCGUGAAGGCAUUUCCACAACUGAGGCUCUUUUUUCUUUGAUAACUCCAGCUUGUGUCAAGUUGACAAACAAAACUAGCUAGUACAGAUGUGGAUAUAAAAUACAUGGUACUGACUCUGGACAGGUGUCUCUGGCAUUUCUGUACACAGCAUGAUAGUAUUCCUUCAAUUUUGUUAUUACUUUGGUUCCAGAAAUAGUGUAUGGUUGAUCCCACAGCUUUGAGUGUACAUCUUGUUCAGUGCCUCUAUCUGACAUGUCAUGUUCUACAGUGUGUGUCUGUCACGUUUCCUCAUCUGUUUCUCUAGAAGUAGGCAUUAAAGUUGGUUCCAACUUCUGCUUCCACAAACAGCACGGUGAUGUCAGUCUUUCACAGGAGUCCUAGGGAACAGUGAGGAGUUCUCUAGACCAGAUGGUGGAUCCAUGUGCUCAUAUUUACUACGUCAUGAAGCUUUUUUUCCCUUAUGCUCUGUGCUUUUCUGGUUCUUGUCUAGGAAGGAGCUCUUCCCCACUCCAAGGUCAAGGAAAAAAAAUGAGUCUGCAUUUUUUUUUUUUUUUACUGAUUUUUAACUGAUAGCUUCUGCAUUUAGGGGUUAACAGUAUAGAGUCUUUCCCCCUUUUCACUGACAUAUAUCUAGUGUCCAGAAAACCUCCAACACAUAGUAGAUAAUAAGUAUCUGUUGAAUAAAUGAUGAAUUUAGGCUUAAUUAUGAUAUCAUCAGAGGUAGAAACCUAAAUAAUUAAGCCAGUUUCAUAUUUUAAUAGUAGGAGCCCUAUUAAUUAAUAAUUUAUCUUAGUAAUGAAUGUUAAGUACUAUAUCUCUCCUCCUACUCAGAUUUAUGUCCCUUUCAUUAUACAAUAUCACAAUAGUCUUAGUACUCUAGCUUGGUUAUAUCUUACAUCUUUGCCUUAAUAAAUUAUGGCUUAUUGCCUGCAUUGUAGGACAAGUUGCCCUCAAAACUAUCUUGGCUAUUCAUCAAUCUUCCAACAUAUUUUAUGUUAUAUGUUAACAUGCUCAAACUAUUGUGGUAGAAUUUUGAAUGAAACUGCCAUUGCCUUAUAAUUAGGAAAGAAAUGGGCAGCCUUGGAAUAUUUCACUAUACAUAAAUAUACUUCCUACAUUUACCCAGUCUUUUCUGGUGGUUUGUAAAGGAGUUCCAAGCUUUUAACAUACAGGUUUUGUAUACUCCAUUGUAUUAAUCCUUUUCAGUUACCAUAUAUUACAUCUUAUAUUACUUUUCUACUAGUCUAAUAGUAGUUGUAGAGUUUUUCUCAUUUGACUUACUUGUUUACCCAUUGGCUUUGGGUUUGUCUGUGUAAAUUUCUUGUGGGGUAUACUUAAUAAUAUUGGAUUUUCUUUUCAAUACUGAUCUGUCCUCUUUCUAGGUUUACUUCAUAGGCCAGGGCCCCUACUCUACAUUAAGCCCUGGUCAUGAUAAUGGAUGCACUUGUUUUAUGUGCAAAAUUUUGGGGGAAUUGUGGUAGUUUGAAUGGGAAUAGUUCCCAUAGGUUGAUAUGUUUUACUUCUUGCUUCCCAUUGGUGGAACUAUUUGGGAAGGAUUAGGAGGUGUGGCUUUGUUGGAAGAGGUGUAUCACUAGGAGUAUCUUGAUCAUGGUAUUUUGUCACAGCAAUAGAAAAGUAACUUAGAUAGGAAUGCUUAAAUUUUAUUUUCAAUUUAAGUAUAUUGUUACAGGUUUUUAGUAAACACUUCUAAUCAAGGUCAUUUUAGGAUUUUCACAUAAACAUUUUGAAAUUUACUGUGCUAUUUUCUGCAUUUAUUGAGAUUAGCACAUUCCUUAUAUCUUCAAUAUGUUAUAAAGCUUGGUCACUAAAAUGAAUGAAAUAGGUAUCAAACUAUUCUUGCAUUGCUUAACUUGAUGUAUUAUGGUUUACUAAACUAUUAAAUUUAAUGAGUUAAUAUCUGAGGUUUCUACAUUAAAAUUCACAAAACUGUAUUUGUUGCUUUUCCUGUUACUGGAAGGAUAAACUAUUAGACAGAAGGAAAUAAACAGGAAAAGGGACUAUAUCAGCUCAUGACUUCAGAAGUUACUUUAUCAACAUGAAAGAAGUGGCCAUGGGAGGGUGUCACGAUGCCAGUGUCUUGGAAAAUGGGAGCAGAACCAAAGCUGGGCAAUGACCCUCAAAGACUCUACCAGCCAGGAUCUCCAACCUUCCAGAAUAGUACUACCAACUGGGGACCAGGUGUUCAACACAUGAGCCUGGGGCUGGAGAGAUGGCUCAGUGCUUAAAGUCACUGGCUACUCUUUCAGAGGACCAGCGUUCAAUUCCCAGCACUCACGCAAC